rnacentral:lncRNA from 1 species
AGACAAAAGUUGGUGGUGAUCCAGUAGUAAACUAGUAAUUACUACAUGGAAAAUGUAAAACAAGGCCAAUAAACUAUAGUGCACAAGACAAGUCCCAACAGGCAUGUGAGAAUGAUGGGGCGUCAAGAUUUGAACAUUUCGGUCAAAACUUAGAAUCUGAACGCAUCCAUAAUGUGGAAUCAUCCACACUUAGCAUUCGCAUAUAUAUACCUAAAACAAGGAACUUCUUCUAUUUGAACUAUAAGAUGUUUUGACUUUUCUAGAUGCAAUGUUUUUUUAAUUGUCAAAGUUAUAUAUCUAAAAAUCCAAAAUAUCUUAUAACUUGAAAUGGAAGAAAUCGGCAUCCAUGUCUUUGCUCAUUAAAGAAAAAAGGGGGCGGAAAGAGAGAGCGAGAGUCGCAAAAUUUACUGCUUUAUUAAUGAUAAAGUAUCCAGAGAUGAAUAGGUGUUACAAAGUUAUUAAUAUCCUUUCCCCACCAGAUUAUGUAACUAAGUUUUACGCAAACAAAAUUGUCGAAAUGCAUAUCAGAAAUCGUCUGAAUAAAAUUGAGAAUUAUUCGCCCGGUCCGAUGUCGAAAUGCAUAUUAGAAAUCGUCUGAAUAAAUUUGAGAAUUAUUCACCUGGUCCGAUUAAAUUUGUAGUCUUUUCGAAUCUAUUCAUAGGUACAUGUCGAAGCGUUUGGUAGAGAUCCAAAAUCUCUUAGAAAUAUUUUGGAUUCAAAUUCUUUUCAGAAACAUUUCUCCUGGUGAUCGGAAUCGGUUUCUCAAAUCAUUUGGAUAGUUGGACAGACCUU